GCUAAAUACUCUCUAGUGACCGAUAGUGAACCAGUACCGUGAGGGAAAGGUGAAAAGCACCCCGGAAGGAGAGUGAAAUAGAACCUGAAACCGUGUGCUUACAAGUAGUCAGAGCCCGUUAAUGGGUGAUGGCGUGCCUUUUGUAGAAUGAACCGGCGAGUUACGAUUUGAUGCAAGGUUAAGCAGUAAAUGUGGAGCCGUAGCGAAAGCGAGUCUGAAUAGGGCGUUUAGUAUUUGGUCGUAGACCCGAAACCAGGUGAUCUACCCUUGGUCAGGUUGAAGUUCAGGUAACACUGAAUGGAGGACCGAACCGACUUACGUUGAAAAGUGAGCGGAUGAACUGAGGGUAGCGGAGAAAUUCCAAUCGAACCUGGAGAUAGCUGGUUCUCUCCGAAAUAGCUUUAGGGCUAGCCUCAAGUGAUGAUUAUUGGAGGUAGAGCACUGUUUGGACGAGGGGCCCCUCUCGGGUUACCGAAUUCAGACAAACUCCGAAUGCCAAUUAAUUUAACUUGGGAGUCAGAACAUGGGUGAUAAGGUCCGUGUUCGAAAGGGAAACAGCCCAGACCACCAGCUAAGGUCCCAAAAUAUAUGUUAAGUGGAAAAGGAUGUGGCGUUGCCCAGACAACUAGGAUGUUGGCUUAGAAGCAGCCAUCAUUUAAAGAGUGCGUAAUAGCUCACUAGUCGAGUGACACUGCGCCGAAAAUGUACCGGGGCUAAACAUAUUACCGAAGCUGUGGAUUGUCCUUUGGACAAUGG
rnacentral:rRNA from 1 species